GUGUUUUAAAAUCCGGUGUUGCCACACAGCCCAUAGUACCUCGAACCUACAUCAAUCAUCCUGCCUCAGCCUGGAGUCCUGGGAUUGAUUACAGUCACAGGGCUGUCCUGUCAGCAGGUGCCUCAUCCAAGUCCCAAGUCCACCCUGCUCCUACAUGCAAACCUGAUGCGGUCUAAGUGGAAUGACUCAGCUCGCCCAAGGCUUCCAAGAGUGGUCUGCGGAACCCUUCCCAUUCCGGACCCGGGUGGGAGUCUGGAGGGCACGCCUACUGGAAGGUCUGGAAUCCCUUGGAGUGAAGGCCAAGAUUUUCCUUGUCAAGCAAAUUCUAAAUCGGUACCCUCUGUUAAGAUGGUUGGAGGCCUGUGAAGGCUGUCUUUUGGGACCGGGAACCAGGAAACUGAGAGGCUCGAUCGGUUUCCUUCCAAAAUGGGUAGAUAGAUACUGCAAAGCAACUCUGAUUUACUGUAAACUUAGAAAAAUCCUGCCCUGGAGUUGACCUAGGUCACAGGAAGGGGCCCUGGCUUCCCUGCAGUGUUGGAUGGCUAGACAGGAAAGGCUGGCUCGGGACUUGAACUUGCCUCAGGAGUCCGAUGUUCCCGAGAAGGAAGGGAGGGAGGGAGGUGGAGUAUGGAAUGCUGUGCGGAGACCAGCACUCUCGAUGUCCACGGUGAGAGGGAAGUAAUUUCGAGAAUCAUUCUUUCACUGACUCGAAUGUUUAUUAGUAAAAAAGACAGACACAUGCAUCCAUCCGGGACCCCACCGUGCACCGGGACCCCAAGAGAUCUUGCCCUUACACACCGCGCCUUCGGUGGCAGAUGGAAACUGAGGGCAAUUUCAAUCCGGUGUGCUGAGGGCUACAGGUGUAGGCGGUAGAGAUAAAGCAAAGGUUAGGAAGGGAAUAUCCCCCGAGGCUCGAAAGAGAAAGCAGAGUCCGUCAGCUGGACUGAGAGUGAAGGCCGGAGGCAGGGGAACUUGAGUAAAAAUAAACUCAGCGGAGGCUGCAGCUGAACCGGAGGAAAUGGUGGAACCGCAUCAACUGGAGACCGAGGGGUAGUUGGGGAAUGGUGCCCACCUGGUGGAUAGCGGGGACACCCCUCAUUCUCCCCAGUCCACGGACUUCUGCAGGCAUAUGGCAGGGCGUGACGUCAGCACUCUAGCUGCUUUACAAAAAUUAAUAUUUAUCGUAUCAAAAUAGCACGCACACAGCUUAAACAUCAAAUAGUGCCAAAAGGCUUCUGACAGGAUCAGAAAUCCCCCUGGCUUCUCUCCCAAGCCUGAGCCCAGUCUGUGGGGACCCACCCUCCCUCUCUCAUCUCUUAGCUGCCUCUGCUGUUCCCCUCUCUGUUUCUGAAUAAUAUAUGUACAGAUAUUCUGGAGUCAUCUCUGUAAUUUGCGCUCUUGUUUUGGAAGAGGGUUUCUGCUGGCUCCUUUGGCUG